GAUGAACGCUGACAGAAUGCUUAACACAUGCAAGUCAACUUGAACUUCGGUUUGGGUGGCGGACGGGUGAGUAACGCGUAAAGAACUUGCCUCACAGCUAGGGACAACAUUUGGAAACGAAUGCUAAUACCUGAUAUUAUGAUUUUAGGGCAUCCUAGAAUUAUGAAAGCUAUAUGCGCUGUGAGAGAGCUUUGCGUCCCAUUAGCUAGUUGGAGAGGUAACGACUCACCAAGGCGAUGAUGGGUAGCCGGCCUGAGAGGGUGAACGGCCACAAGGGGACUGAGACACGGCCCUUACUCCUACGGGAGGCAGCAGUGGGGAAUAUUGGACAAUGGACCAAGAGUCUGAUCCAGCAAUUCUGUGUGCACGAUGAAGUUUUUCGGAAUGUAAAGUGCUUUCAGUUGGGAAGAAAAAAAUGACGGUACCAACAGAAGAAGUGACGGCUAAAUACGUG
rnacentral:rRNA from 1 species